GAGAUCGGACACGAGGAUGAGAAUGCUGAGCUGUGCAGCGUGAGAGUCUGUGUUAAAACGGAUAUAGUACUGGAUACGAAGUUGAAACGAAUCCUUUUGCGAUUAGAAUUACUGGUUAUCAUCCAAGUUUUAAGCCUGGAAUAGUGGAGCUGAAGUGCCCCACCUGUCCGGACUGAGACCCAAACGUGUUGCAUUGAGAUCGGUCAGGUUUUUUUGUUAUGCUGGAUUGUUCCUGAGGCAGAGUCCUCCUGUGACUGAUGGCGAGCCUUCCCACCUGGACUUAGAGAAAGAACUGACUUCCUUCUUUUCCAUUUGGAGUUCUGCUGCACCCUGCGGUGUGGUAGGCCUGUAUCCCUCACAUAUUCACGCACAGCUGGUUAUGCACGAGACUACUGGCUGACUUUUUUAAUUGUUAUUGUUUCAUUCUGGGACUUUGGACACAAGUUUUAUUUUGGACGUUAUCACAAACUGCUGUGUAGGACAUUCUCCUCAUGUGAAUGAUGUUAAAUCAAACCUGAAUAGGAACUGAAUUUAAACAAUUUGUGAAUUAUUACAAUUUAAAAUUCAGAUUACCAGGGUGCACCCAAAAUAGCCAGGGCAGUCAAAAGUAGCCGGUCAACGGCGGCAAAUUGCCGUCUAUAGCAGCUCUUACCGCCGCCUACAUUUCCCCGAUUAUA